CAGAGAACUUGCCCUUCGGGGUAGAUCUCCCACCCUGUGUCUACGUUACCAUUGUUGCUUUGACGGGCCCGUCCCCCGGGACCGCCGGCUCCGGCUGGCCCGUGCCCGUCAGAGGACCCCAAACGCUUAUUUUAACGUCGUCUGAGUACUAUAUAAUAGUUAAA
rnacentral:misc_RNA from 1 species